rnacentral:rRNA from 1 species
UGGGGAAUAUUGGUCAAUGGGCGAAAGCCUGAACCAGCAAUGCCGCGUGAGUGAUGAAGGCCUUCGGGUUGUAAAGCUCUGUCAGGGGGAACGAAUAAGCCGGUUAAUACCCGGUGAUGACGGUACCUUCAAAGGAAGCACCGGCUAACUCUGUGCCAGCAGCCGCGGUAAUACAGAGGGUGCAAGCGUUGUUCGGAAUUACUGGGCGUAAAGCGCGUGUAGGCGGUUUAAUAAGUCGGUCGUGAAAGCCCUCGGCUCAACCGAGGAACUGCGUUCGAAACUAUUAGACUAGAGUAUCGGAGGGGGUGGCGGAAUUCCCGGUGUAGAGGUGAAAUUCGUAGAUAUCGGGAGGAACACCUGUGGCGAAGGCGGCCACCUGGAAGAUUACUGACGCUGAGACGCGAAAGCGUGGGGAGCAAACAGGAUUAGAUACCCCCGUAGUCC